rnacentral:lncRNA from 1 species
ACCAUGUUGUGUUAUCUGGAUUUAUUUGUUAAUUAAUAAAAUUUAGAAUGGAAAUGAGGAAUGUGUCUAAGAGUCAACAACGUGACCAAAGAGCAGACAACAGCUGAAGGCCACCAAUGGGUCUUCAACGCAGCGAGAAACAACCCCACCUGGAGGCAUGCUUCAGCUGUUAAUUGUCCUAAUAUUCAUGAAAUUUUAAUGUCGCUUUUUUUUUCUGAGAGUUGGUAGUUGUUGUACAUGUACAUACAUCUAUUGUCGAGAAGUUUUGGUUAUUUUAUAAGUUUUAUAAAUAUUUAUCAUUCAAAAAUUGUUCUAUGAAUAUUUUUUCCACUUUUACAAUUUACAUUCAUGACAUUCAUGACAUUCAUUUGACAUUAUAAUAUUUGUAUUUUAAAUUUUUGCUUUUUUUUUUAAUUUCAUUAUGGUGUAAAUUUAGCAUAAAAGAGGGGGAUAGGACCUUUAUUGGGACUCCGGGAUCAGGUGUUUUUAAGCUCAGGAUUUCGGGAUUGACCCUGUCGGGAUCCGGGAAUUCUUUUUUUUAAUUUCAGGAUGUCGGGAUUUGAAUUUAUUUAAAUUCAGGACCUCUGGAUUUCGUGUUUAUAAGCACAGGAUUUCGGGAUCAGGACCCCUCUUACAUGUACCCCCCCCCCCUCAUAAAAUGUUCUUCUAUCCUAUAACAAGGCAAACUUAAAA